rnacentral:rRNA from 1 species
CUUGGCGAAAAUAGCAUUUGUGACCCACCUGAUUCCAUUCCGAACUCAGAAGUGAAACCAAAUCGCGCCGAUGAUAGUAUGGGAGUUCCCAUGUGAAAGUAGGUCAUUGCCAGGC